UACGUAGGGGGCUAGCGUUGUCCGGAAUCAUUGGGCGUAAAGCGCGUGUAGGCGGUCCGGUAAGUCCGCUGUGAAAGUCGGGGGCUCAACCCUCGGAUGCCGGUGGAUACUGUCGGGCUUGAGUACGGAAGAGGCGAGUGGAAUUCCUGGUGUAGCGGUGAAAUGCGCAGAUAUCAGGAGGAACACCAAUUGCGAAGGCAGCUCGCUGGAACGGAACUGACGCUGAGGCGCGAAAGCGUGGGGAGCGAACAGG
rnacentral:rRNA from 1 species